rnacentral:rRNA from 1 species
UCCGUAGGUGAACCUGCGGAAGGAUCAUUAUCGUAGGGCUUCGGCCCUGUCGAGAUAGAACCCUUGCCUUUUUGAGUACCUUUCGUUUCCUCGGCAGGCUCGCCUGCCAAUGGGGACCCCAAAAAACACUUUGCAGUACCUGUAAUAGUCUGAACAAACAAACAAAAAUUAAAACUUUCAACAACGGAUCUCUUGGUUCUGGCAUCGAUGAAGAACGCAGCGAAAUGCGAUAAGUAGUGUGAAUUGCAGAAUUCAGUGAAUCAUCGAAUCUUUGAACGCACAUUGCGCCCUUUGGUAUUCCUUAGGGCAUGCCUGUUCGAGAAUCAGUUUAACCAUCAAACCUAUUUUGGAAACAAUAUAUGUUUGGACUUGGGACAUCUCGAAAGAGAGACCUUAAUUACAUUUGUUGCCCAUCUCUGACGAGACUAUAUGAAUGGCAUGACCACUGAACUCACGUUCUUCGAUUGCAGCUAGUAUUUUUUAGUCAUUGGUAUUGUACAGAAUAAAUACGAAGUUACACUAAUGUGACUUUAAGACUUGAUCUCGAAUCAGACAAGGACUACCCGGCUGGAACCUUAAGGCAUAUCAAUAAGGCGGGAGGGAAGGUCGGACUGGCCAA